ACUGUAAGUGUGUAAUAAAAUAUUCAGUGGAAUCUCUCAGUUCACAUUGUAAAGGCAACAUACAAUAAUAAUAUUUCGCAUCAAAACUUCAAUUUUUUUUUUUUGAAUACUGAUCACGUAUCAGAUUACUGUUUUACACAGAUAUUUACAAUUUUUAUUACAGCAGAUAUUACACUUGCGACAUAUGACCCUCACAGACGAUUACUGUAUUACACAGAUAUUUACAACUUCUAUUAGUGAUAUUUCCAAUCAGAUAUAUAAUUAGCACUUAAAUUAUUACAUUAAUUUUAUGAAGUACAUACUCAGACAUAUGACCCUCACAGACGAGAGAUGUCUCCACUCCACUCGCAUUUCGCAAGAGAAAAAGAUUUACAAAUUAACUCCACAUAUUUUUUUGCUUAAUUGAGGGAGGUUGAAUUUAUGUAUGGAAACUCGAACCACUAUCCUCAUAAUCCUGCUUAACUUUGAGAAUAGUGGUUCACCACUGGACCAAAGCCCAAGUGGCUAUCAAAACUUAAAUUAAUCUCCACCAAGUUGUUGUUUUGAUAUGUGAACUCCUUGAUCUAUCAAAGAUUCUCACAUUCCUCGGUGCUAAUUUAAGAGAAAACCAAGAUGCCGAUGUAUUUUAGUUUCAUCGAAUGAUUCCAAUAUCUCUGGAGUUUUACCUUGCCAAGGGUAUGCGCUGGGCGGGCUGCAAUCAUGUUGUCAGAUUCUGCACAAAAAGUCCACGUUCACUAACUUUCAUUUUAUAGACAAAUGACGUUUCUGAAAUCUAAAAUAUCCAGUGAAUCAUCGACUGAUCAUUUCAUCACACCACCAUAAUUUGGAUAAGGAAUACCAAAUAAUGAUGAUAAUGAUUAAUAUUUUGUAUAAGCUCAUAAGUCAUGGUUUGACAUAAAGAGUGUGAGAGUGACUAUAAAUUUGAACUGAAAUUUAGAAAUGAUUUUGUUAACAACUAUUAUGUAACCUGACAAUGCCUGCUGAGAUUUCGCAAUCGCCAAGUCGCUCAUUCAUUGCAUUCCAAUCUUUUUGGUCACAAUCUUUUGUUCCAUGCGCAAUUCACACAUUCCAUAGAGAGUCAUAGACGUAUCAAAAUGCACAGAAAACAAAUGGUGAUGAUUCGAGAUAUUCCAUCAGCCACUUAGAAAUUUGCUUGCCAUAUGCAGGAAAAGAGUUGACCUCAUAGUUAUCGGUUAUCAGGCCAUCCAUUAAUAAUGAAUAGUUUAGUCUGGUAACGGAAAAUCAGUCAAAUCCUCCCUAUGAUGUACAAGGUCCGAUACCCGAUUUGGGUCAAGAGAAACACUAGGACUACGAUGAACAUAUUUCCGACUUUGGGAAGAUUGUUGUGAAUUAGCCAUCCAACAAAGCCUGAGCAGAGAUAAUAUGGUUCCCAGACUCAGAAGCCAUCACAUAACAGUUAUCUGCAGUAUUUAAUUACCAACAUUCAAGUUAUUUUCUAUCAGCUGUUAACAAUAGUCAAAACUCAAAUAUGGCUUUUGGAGAGACUGAGUUAUAUGACUUACAUAAAUUGAGUUCUCAGGGGAUCCCAUCUUGGUGCUACUGCUGCUGAAUUUGAGAAGUGGGAUUAAGGCAAAUGGGUAGUUCAAAUGACAGUAUCAUCUGCAAGCAAUAACUAUAAAAUAUAGCAAUUAUUGAUUAACAGAAUCAUCUUUUAAUCAAAGAUCUAGUGAUGCAUAAUGGUAUCUAUAGAUGUUUCGACACACAAUUAUUAGCUGCAAUGACCUUUCUUUCCUAACUCUUCACUUCAGUUCAUCCUCACACUUUCUCCCUGCAAAUACUGUCCCUAGUUUACAAGUAAGCAAGUGACCAGCUCCCAACUCAAAGCACAUUGCACAACUUAUUACACUGUAACUGCAUUGAAUUAUUUUCCUGCCCUUGAAAGGCCAGAGAAAUUCAAAUGACAAUAAAACUGUUCAUACUAUUACACACAAAUUUGCUAAAACGGAGCAGGCUCAUAGAUUUGAAAGGUUGGGCCCUGGUUUCCUUCUAAUUGACAAAUAUAUAGAAAAUAAUUUGUUUCAGGUUGAAUUUAAAAAGACUCGGCACUCUUUUACAGCAAACACAACAAGAACUAUGUUGUUAGAACUUUGAACCAUUGCAAAACUAUGACUAGCUUUUACAGCAUACAAUUAACUUAUGUGGUUAUCUUAUAGCAACCAAAAUUGAUACCUGAAUAGUGGCGAGAAGCACUGAACAAAAAUGGCCGGUGCAUGUCAACAAGCUAGUGUCAGGCAGUAAGCCAGUAACAACAAGAUGAGUCUGGAAGUUGGAGUUGGCUAAACUGGGCAAGUUCAAAUUAAAAACCAUUCUGUAACAGCUACCCAGAAAGAACCUGUCACCAGGAAUAUCAUCCAAGUAAAAUUUCAUUGAACUGUUUCUUAACUCCUAAUUAUUAUUAUUUUUUGGUUGAAUCAGGUAAAAUGGACCACAAUCAUUCUAAAGGCACUAAAUGAUUUUAAAUACCACUGGGGCUUCUGACCACAAAGAAAGUAAAAAACUACUUGGGCUGGCAUAAAUAAUUCCUUAUCUUUAAUAAAACACUUCAUAGAUAAAAGGCUUCUUUCUUUCUUUUUAACUCUAUCGGUUUAAUUAACCCCUUUUGCAGAUUCAUAGUAUGUAAAUUGAUUAAAAAUUUCUCCUAAAAUGAACAUGCAGCCUUGAUAUCAAUAACCCAUUAAAUUUUUUUACUGUGACCAAAGGAUUCGAUCAGAAUUACAUAAUCUUAAGCAACUAAAAACCAUUGACUCUAAUUAAUAAUUAGAAAUUGAGAAUCAUUUUUCUUUUUUUUUUCUCUCUUAACGAGCAAGUAUUAGGCCCUUCUGUUUAAAAUAAGUGAAAAAAGUAAAAUGGAAGCCCAAUCCACAAGAACAGGAAAGUAAAAAUAAUCAUUGCAGUAAUAGUUACAAUCACCAGCAGAGUGCCCAAAUUUCCAUCCUUGCAAUUCCAGUGGCCUUCGGUUUUCAUAUGGAAGAACAUCACCAGUUUCUCUAGAUGUCAAUUUCUCCACACUUUAAUAACUCUUUAUGCUUCAUAAUUGGUUUUACCUUCAUAACUUGCCUAAACCUAUACUCUAUACCAUCCCUUAUUCUUUUACGCAGUCCAUCAUCCAGCAAACUAGGUUCCUCUGCCGCAUUUAGGGCAUCACAAACUAACUUGUAUGUGUACUCUCUAGGUACUGAACCCCCAUCAACCAACUCCGCCAGAAAAUCCCUGGCCUCCAAAACCCUUCCAGCUUCACACAAUGCAUGUAUAAUUGGAGUAUAUGAACUCGAAGUGGGUACCCCAUGAUUCAAAUUUUGCAUCUUCCUCAUCAUUUCAAUAGCCUUAUCAAUCUCAUUCACAACACUAUAAUACCUAAUAAACGAGUUAUAAGUAACCCGAUUUGGAAUACAACCCUUUUUAUUCAUAUCAUCAAAAAGUUCCAAGGCCCUCUCAAUCCGAUAGGUCUUGCAACAACCAUCUAUCAAACAGUUAUACGCAACAACAUCUGGAACAAAACCCUUAAACAACAUUAACCGAAACAAGUGAUUAGCUUCCCAUAUCCUCCUUCUAAUAGCCUUUCUACACCCGGUUUGCAUACCAUACUUACAAUAAGAACUAAUCAAUAUAGUAUAAGUAUACACAUCCGGGGGACACCUAAACCCCGGUAACUCCAUCUGUUCCAACAAAAAUCUUGCCUUGUUAAAGUUCCCAACUCGACAAAGAGCAUUAAUAACAACAUUGUAAGCGUAAACAUCAGGUCUACAACGAAACUGCUUCAUCCGAUAAAAUGUAGCCAAUGCCUCGUUAACCAGCCCUUCUUCACCUAGGACUUUUAUCAAACAGGUAACACUAGAGGUAGUAACAAGCUCCCCAUUUCCUCUUCUUGACAUAUCUUUGAGAAAAUCCCAAAGACCCUUUACGUUAUUUCCUCUGGCGAAUACAAUGCCCAUUUCUUUACAAGUCAUCUCAUUAUGAAAAAAGUCGAAAAACCUUUCGACCCAGUGAUAAAACUCUGUGGCUUUGUUGAGUCCUAGAGUGACCUUUUGAGGAUCUCUAUAGGCGGCAGGGCCAAGAACAAGCACAUUAUUGGCGAUAUUGUAAGCUUCUUUUUUGAGGAUUCGUUGUCUCAAAGGAGUGCGAUGGCGAAAACCCGUUUGGCGGCCAAUGGAGCGAGGGGACUGAAAGAAGAAUCUUGGGAUUGAUUUGAGUACGUCAGCGACUGAUUCAAUGGUGAAUGGGUUUUGGGUUUUGGUUGUUGAAGCGGCGAGUUUGGCAUCAAAUGGGACGUUUUUUAGCAUAAGCGGAAGUACUUGCUGCACUAGGCAAGUGUGCUUGGAGUUUAGAGGUUUCGAGACGAUCAUGUUCGUUGCGGUUGAUAAUUAAUUAUCCUCGCAAAUGCUUCAGAAAUGCCACUGCAAAACUGAUUUAUACUCGAAGCUAGUUCCGGUUUCUCCUCAUUGAUAUUUGCAUGAAUUUCUGCGCGUGUGUUAUUUGUUACGUGAAGUAAAGGCCACUGUACAUGUGAUGAAGUUCUGCGCGCUUUUUGCCGUCUUUGAACUUUGAAGAGAGAGAUAAAAGCGUGGGGAUUUGAUGGACCAAGUUUUGGGCUUUUUGGCAUUGGACCUACCCAAUUCAAUCUCCUGCAUUCAACAUUUUAUGGGCCACAUUUUCUACUCUUUGAGCUUGAAUUUUUCAGCCCUCCAUACUUACAUAUACUGGACUCAAAUCCAUUCUAUAAUAAUGAUGGAAAAGUAUACCACGCUCACCGCUCAGGCUUUCUGUGUUCUUAUACGAAAUGGAAGUGUUGUGUGAGAUUCUGGUUCUCUGCUCGUCCACGAUCAGGAUCUCUCCUCAACUAAUUCGUCCACCACCAGGAUCUCUCCUCGUAAGAUUUUUUAUCUGCAAACUCAUGCGUACACAGAGACAGGUCAGAGCAUGCCGGGUGUGUUCCCGGCAUAAACCCUCCAACGCUCAAGUCAGAAAUGUAGGCUUUACCUUUCUGGGAAAAACGACCACUAAUCUUAUGGCUCUUUUUUCUUAGAUCUAUCAAUCGAAAGCUCUCUUUAUCUCAGUUUUAAUCUCAAAAAGUCUAACCAUUUUACAUUCGUGGGCUACUUUUUUAUAGGCUCUCUCUGGAUCCUGGCCUUCCACAACCCAUGUCCAUUACCUCCCCCCAACUCUCGGAAGUGGAUGCUCGGUUAUCGUAGUCGUGGCUGGAUGAACUUCGUGCCUUGAUUCUUGGGUAGGAGUGCACGUACGUCUUGUCAACCGUCAUUGACCGGGUCUCCUCACCUCGACCUCUAGCAGGAAUAGUUUUACGCUCCUGGUAGGAGGCUAGCUGCAGUUGUGGUCCCGUGGAAUAUAUCUGUUCGUAUUCCCCUGCUACCAGACUUUUGCGGAAUAUAUCUGUUCGCGAAAUCCUACUACCAAGUAUUUGCUCAUCAUGGUCGGUCUUGUCGAGGUACAUCCCCCAAACAGGAAGAUCAGUGAAUAAUAAAUUUUAGGAAUAGAGUGACAAUAUAAUUGUCAUAUCAAUUAUGAUACAAACAUAAACAUUAACUAUUGUUUUCAAUUGAACUCUUAAGAAAAUAGUUUUUUUUUGGUUUGCCUCUUUUCAUACAAGUAAGAGGAAUCAAUUUUCUCUCACAUUAAAUUUUAAUUUAAGUUUGUGCAUGGGAAUAUGGAGAAGUUGGGGUGUGUGAAAUGCAAACAAAAAAAAAAUGUGGAUUGAAUAUAUUUUGUAAGUUACCUAAAUUUUAUUAAAUGUAAGAUCAAAACUUUGCGAAAAAAAAUAAAUGGGAAUUUCAUAUGAAAUUGAGCCAGCAUGGGCAUUGAAAUCAUUUUUCAAUAUCAUCUCAAACUUCUAAAUUACAAUAAUAUACUUAAUAUAGAUUGGGAAAAAGAAAAAUCCUCCCUUACAAUAAUUAUAAGACAUCACAUCAUGAGAUUUGAAGAUUUUAGACGAGAAGAGCUAAUCACGGGCCACCGUCUUGGGCUCGUGAUCCAAUUCUAAAGAGAACUCUCCUAGAAAUUAUCCGUUAACAAACCAAAUAUAUAUAUAUAUAUAUAUAUAUAUUGGGAGCCUCUAAGUUACAAUAAUUGUAACAUACAUUUCUUAUGUGAACCACACAAAAUUAUAAGACCCAUAAUUUGUGUGGUUCACAUGAAGAAUGUAUGUUACAAUUAUUGUAACUUAGCAUUUGCCAUAUAUAUAUUGUAUUUAAAAACACAUUUCGAAGGGCGCAAAUAAAUUUCCCUCCACAACGAGCAGCAGCGCUUAUACUAUACAGUGAGAUCCGUUUAAAAGAGUCCGAACCCGGCCCACUCCGCAUCAACAACCGGUCGGGGCGAAGACUUAUACGACGAAAAAGACGACGAAGCAGGUGAGGCAGUGAAGGGCGAAAGGGUCUUCCGGCUAGACACCGACCACCUGGCUAAUGUUUCAAGGUCAGAAGAGUAUCCCGGUUCGGAUUCGGGUCUGGGUAGGAGUACCCUUUUUUUGCUUGCCUUUUGUCUCAGCAGAGGAGCAGGAAAACAUCCGGGCGAGACACAAUCGGGUCGGAGAGGCUUCUCAAACCGCCAACGCUCGGACCGGGUUCGCGGGGUGGACCGGAACGACUGGCUUCGAGGCUCCACUGGUGGAAAGAAAUGAAGCGCGGCUGGUGGGGGUCUAAGCUUUUGCAGUGGAGCAGGUGAGGAACGGGUGUGAUUAUCAAAUUCAACAGCUGGCGACAGCGGUGGCUCCGGCGUAAGUUUCUUCAGAGGUUGCUGUUGUUGGAUCUUGGGCACGCCGGGUCGAAUCUCCCACUUGAAUGGGACGGCACCGGGUUUUCUACAAGAGUCAUCGAUAGUCAUGUUUGUUUAUAACUGAAAAUAACUAAUAAAAGCAGACCCCAAGUGAUAGGGGUAAAUGUAAAACCAAAACGGGGUUCACUUGUGUUGCGUUGCUUUGCUCUUAUAUAGUAAGAAAUGGGGCGUUCCUGGCGAGAUUAAAGGCAUGAAGUGGGGCCAAUAUGGAAAAUGAGAUAAUCUGCAUGUUCCUUCUUUGACUUUUGUACUGAGAAAGAAAGAACUUUUUUUCAAUCAUGCUUUAUGCAGUAUCAAGAAAGUGGAAAGCAAAACGUUCUUGUGAAAAAUCCAAACGUUAAUUAGGGAAAUAAGGGACUUUGUAUUUCGAAUUUUAAAUUGUUUGUAUCAGAAAAUCUAGAUGCAGACAGAAUUGAACUAACUAUCUACGAGCGGAUAAUGCCACUGACUCAGCUUUUUUUUCUAAUUAAGCUCAUUUUCCGCCAGGCCUUUGGGUCACAUUCCUAAUUUCUUCUCAAAUAAAACUUCGGCAAAGUAAAUGAUAAUCGGGAAACUUCAUUUCAAGUUUGUUUCCGAGGAGAAGUUAAAAGUGAUUACUAAAUUUAACUACUUUGUUU
rnacentral:lncRNA from 1 species